rnacentral:rRNA from 1 species
GGCCCCUACGGGGGGCAGCAGUGAGGAAUAUUGGUCAAUGGCCGGAAGGCUGAACCAGCCAAGCCGCGUGAAGGACGAAGGUGCCAAGCAUUGUAAACUUCUUUUGUCAAGGGACAAAAUCAGGCUCGAGAGCCUGACCGAGGGUACUUGAAGAAAAAGCAUCAGCUAACUCCGUGCCAGCAGCCGCGGUAAUACGGAGGAUGCGAGCGUUAUCCGGAUUCAUUGGGCGUAAAGCGCGCGUAGGCGGCCUGUUAGGUCGGGGGUCAAAUACCGGGGCUCAACCCCGGUCCGCCCCCGAUACCGGC